CUACGGAGGGUGCGAGCGUUAAUCGGAAUUACUGGGCGUAAAGGGUGCGUAGGCGGCUUGAUAAGUCGGAUGUGAAAGCCCCGGGCUUAACCUGGGAAUUGCAUUCGAUACUGUCAGGCUAGAGUAUGUCAGAGGUUGGCGGAAUUCCUAGUGUAGCGGUGAAAUGCGUAGAUAUCAGGAGGAACACCAGUGGCGAAGGCGGCUAACUGGGGCAAUACUGACGCUGAGGCACGAAAGCGUGGGGAGCAAACAGAAUUAGAAACCCUAGUAGUCC
rnacentral:rRNA from 1 species